rnacentral:lncRNA from 1 species
UUGGGUAGCAGGAUUUUUACCUGCCCUAAUCAGCCCAAGAAUGGGUGAUCCUUCUACCUAUAGCUCUUCCUUGGCGACUGCAUACACAUACCCUCAGCCUCUCCCCAUCAAACAGAUUGCAACAAGUGUCAGGACUACAGGGUUUUCGUAUACUCCAUGAUCAUCGGAACACCUUGCAGGGAGUGCGCAGCGAGGAGUACACCUGAUUGAAUGGGCAGCGUGCUGGAAUGCAAACAAGAAUGUGAAGUGUUUUGUAUGAAUGUGGAUUCUUCCAUUCCAAUACUAACUGGCUGUCAGCAGUUCUCUUUGAAGCUGGAGCACACUGGAGCUCAAUCAC